UACGUAGGGUGCGAGCGUUAAUCGGAAUUACUGGGCGUAAAGCGUGCGCAGGCGGUUUUGUAAGCCAGAUGUGAAAUCCCCGGGCUUAACCUGGGAAUGGCAUUUGGGACUGCAAGGCUUGAGUGCGGCAGAGGAGACUGGAAUUCCUGGUGUAGCAGUGAAAUGCGUAGAGAUGUGGAGGAAUACCGAUGGCGAAGGCAGCCCCCCUGGGAUAACACUGACGCUCAUGCACGAAAGCGUGGGGAGCAAACAGG
rnacentral:rRNA from 1 species